rfam:Halorientalis sp. IM1011, complete genome.
GGUGGGAUAGCGAAGUGGCCUAACGCGACUGCCUUGAGAGCAGUUGUCCUCACGGACUCUGGGGUUCGAAUCCCCAUCCCACCG